rnacentral:rRNA from 1 species
UACGAAGGUCCCAAGCGUUGUUCGGAAUCACUGGGCGUAAAGGGAGCGUAGGCGGCGUGGUAAGUCAGAUGUGAAAUCCCGGGGCUCAACCCCCGGAACUGCAUCCGAUACUGCCAUGCUUGAGGGUUGGAGAGGUAGCUGGAAUUCUCGGUGUAGCAGUGAAAUGCGUGGAUAUCGAGAGGAACACUCGUGGCGAAGGCGAGCUACUGGACAACAUCUGACGCUGAGGCUCGAAGGCUAGGGGAGCAAAAGGG